CAGCAGCGGCGGACAGUAGCAGCGAUGGCAGUGGGCAAACGCAGCAUGGAGCAGCAGCGGGCAACAGCGGCGGCGGUAGUGGUUAACUCUGCGGUCGUGUCUAAUGAACAACCUCUUCAACUUUUUCACGAUGGAUUUACUACUCUUUGAAUUUCGGAGUUUUCAAGCUUUUGUGCAAUUUUGAUGUUACGGGCCCGUUUGAUUUAUCACUAACAGCAUGUUUCUCCUACUUGACCCAUUAUGGCCAAACAACAUCUGUCGUUACAAACCCAACCAACUUUUCAGAAACAAACCCACUGUGGUCAAUGAAAGCAAAUAAAUAUGUUACCAAAAUCGAACCAUCGAACCGCACUGUGUCAACAGGGUGUGUUACAACUGAUUCAAUUGUGACGUACGGAGAACUUACAAAACAAAUUUCUUCUAAAUAUGUAUUAAGAAUUUUUUCCUUACUGUUACAAGUGUAUACAAAUUUUAAUAACAGUUCGAAUAUUUACAAAACAAAUAAAAACGAAGGUUCAAACUGUAACUGUUUUCAGUACAGGGCAUAUAGCUCUGAAACUAACCUUAUAAUCGUUGUGGCAAUGCUUUUCGGUCGGAGGGCUGUGGAAUGAGCGCGAAGCCUUUUAAGACCACUAUUGUUGGCCCUAACUAGUGUUUCUUGAACUGGUAUUCCGCGAACAUUCGACUAAUUGAAAUCAGACCAAUCAGGAAAAAAGCUUCGAUGAGCUUUUUAUCAUACCAAUUGUUUCUCCUCUAUGUUUUUCGAACUGUUGUGAAAGAUAGAAAAAGUUUUAAUGAUUUGCAAAAUAUUGCAGAUUUUAUCAGGUAUUAAUCAGGCAUUAGACGUAAAAAACACUUGCCAUAUUUUGUUUGGAUUUAAGUUGCAUAACAUUUUUACUAGGGUAAAUAUGUUUGUUAAAUUAGCCGUUACAAAUUUGAUCUGUAAAUACUUUAUGUCAUUUGUACUCAGAAAUAUAGAAAAUUGAAAAGGAAGGGAAAAAAAGAUUUGAGUUGUUAUGCUUAUAUUCCAAGUUCCUUGUUGAAUUUAGUAUGAAUAAACAAGUCCAGUGAUAAUAAAAAUGUCGUUGCCAGCAUAUGUUUAAUAAGAAUGAUAAUUCUACAAACCUCUACAAAUUUUUGCUAAAGAUUUUGCUAAAGAAGCCUUAUUUUACCUCUCGGUGUUAUUUCUGUACUUCUGUACAAAUAUAUUCGGUUCAACACAAUUGGCAUACAGCACUAAAACCUGAAAAUCGCAGCACUGAAACGUGAAAAUGCAGUAUCAAAAUCUGCAAAAAUGCAUCCAAAACCAGUUCAAAAGCAAGUCAAGCAUUAUUCAAAGAUUUUCAAAACUCCAUCCCCUCUCACUCUUCCAUAACGUUACUACCCAAAUUAGUAUGAGGAAAAUAUUCCAUUCACUAAUCAUAACAAAAACAAGUGAGUAAUGUCAUUGACGAAAUCGCAACGCAAUACAACAAACGUAUGAUUUCUCGGUGACAAACAUAGCACAUUUUGGUAUCUGUUUGGCUGCUAUAGAAAACCUGCUGAAAAAAAUACCAUCCGAACUACUUACUCUCCCUCCCAUCAUCACCGCACCGCAUCAUCGCUGCUGCGUCACUGCGAUGCGAGAUGCAAUCCAACCAACAU